rnacentral:rRNA from 2 species
UUGAAGAGUUUGAUCAUGGCUCAGAUUGAACGCUGGCGGCAGGCCUAACACAUGCAAGUCGAGCGGUAGCACAGAGAGCUUGCUCUCGGGUGACGAGCGGCGGACGGGUGAGUAAUGUCUGGGAAACUGCCUGAUGGAGGGGGAUAACUACUGGAAACGGUAGCUAAUACCGCAUAACGUCGCAAGACCAAAGUGGGGGACCUUCGGGCCUCAUGCCAUCAGAUGUGCCCAGAUGGGAUUAGCUGGUAGGUGGGGUAACGGCUCACCUAGGCGACGAUCCCUAGCUGGUCUGAGAGGAUGACCAGCCACACUGGAACUGAGACACGGUCCAGACUCCUACGGGAGGCAGCAGUGGGGAAUAUUGCACAAUGGGCGCAAGCCUGAUGCAGCCAUGCCGCGUGUGUGAAGAAGGCCUUCGGGUUGUAAAGCACUUUCAGCGGGGAGGAAGGCGAUAAGGUUAAUAACCUUGUCGAUUGACGUUACCCGCAGAAGAAGCACCGGCUAACUCCGUGCCAGCAGCCGCGGUAAUACGGAGGGUGCAAGCGUUAAUCGGAAUUACUGGGCGUAAAGCGCACGCAGGCGGUCUGUCAAGUCGGAUGUGAAAUCCCCGGGCUCAACCGGGAACUGCAUUCGAAACUGGCAGGCUAGAGUCUUGUAGAGGGGUAGAAUUCCGGUGUAGCGGUGAAAUGCGUAGAGAUCUGGAGGAAUACCGGUGGCGAAGGCGGCCCCCUGGACAAAGACUGACGCUCAGGUGCGAAAGCGUGGGGAGCAAACAGGAUUAGAUACCCUGGUAGUCCACGCUGUAAACGAUGUCGAUUUGGAGGUUGUGCCCUUGAGGCGUGGCUUCCGGAGCUAACGCGUUAAAUCGACCGCCUGGGGAGUACGGCCGCAAGGUUAAAACUCAAAUGAAUUGACGGGGGCCCGCACAAGCGGUGGAGCAUGUGGUUUAAUUCGAUGCAACGCGAAGAACCUUACCUGGUCUUGACAUCCACAGAACUUUCCAGAGAUGGAUUGGUGCCUUCGGGAACUGUGAGACAGGUGCUGCAUGGCUGUCGUCAGCUCGUGUUGUGAAAUGUUGGGUUAAGUCCCGCAACGAGCGCAACCCUUAUCCUUUGUUGCCAGCGGUUAGGCCGGGAACUCAAAGGAGACUGCCAGUGAUAAACUGGAGGAAGGUGGGGAUGACGUCAAGUCAUCAUGGCCCUUACGACCAGGGCUACACACGUGCUACAAUGGCAUAUACAAAGAGAAGCGACCUCGCGAGCAAGCGGACCUCAUAAAGUAUGUCGUAGUCCGGAUUGGAGUCUGCAACUCGACUCCAUGAAGUCGGAAUCGCUAGUAAUCGUAGAUCAGAAUGCUACGGUGAAUACGUUCCCGGGCCUUGUACACACCGCCCGUCACACCAUGGGAGUGGGUUGCAAAAGAAGUAGGUAGCUUAACCUUCGGGAGGGCGCUUACCACUUUGUGAUUCAUGACUGGGGUGAAGUCGUAACAAGGUAACCGUAGGGGAACCUGCGGUUGGAUCACCUCCUU